rfam:Nestor notabilis contig12938, whole genome shotgun sequence.
GCUUUGGUGGUAUAUUGGUGAGCGUAGCUGCCUUCCAAGCAGUUGACCCGGGUUCGAUUCCUGGCCAAUGCA